rnacentral:rRNA from 1 species
UACAGAGGUCCCAAGCGUUGUUCGGAUUCAUUGGGCGUAAAGGGUGCGUAGGCGGCGCGGUAAGUCGGGUGUGAAAUCCUGGAGCUCAACUCCAGAACUGCCUUUGAUACUGGCGAUCUUGAGUCCGGGAGAGGUGAGUGGAACUGCGAGUGUAGAGGGUGAAAUUCGUAGAUAUUCGCAAGAACACCAGUGGCGAAGGCGGACUCACUGGCCCGGUACUGACGCUGAGGUGCGAAAGCGUGGGAGCAACGGG